rnacentral:rRNA from 1 species
CGAGAGUUUGAUCCUGGCUCAGGACGAACGCUGGCGGCGUGCUUAACACAUGCAAGUCGAACGAUGAACCACUUCGGUGGGGAUUAGUGGCGAACGGGUGAGUAACACGUGGGCAAUCUGCCCUGCACUCUGGGACAAGCCCUGGAAACGGGGUCUAAUACCGGAUACGACGCUCGCAGGCAUCUGUGAGGGUUAAAAGCUCCGGCGGUGCAGGAUGAGCCCGCGGCCUAUCAGCUUGUUGGUGAGGUAGUGGCUCACCAAGGCGACGACGGGUAGCCGGCCUGAGAGGGCGACCGGCCACACUGGGACUGAGACACGGCCCAGACUCCUACGGGAGGCAGCAGUGGGGAAUAUUGCACAAUGGGCGCAAGCCUGAUGCAGCGACGCCGCGUGAGGGAUGACGGCCUUCGGGUUGUAAACCUCUUUCAGCAGGGAAGAAGCGCAAGUGACGGUACCUGCAGAAGAAGCGCCGGCUAACUACGUGCCAGCAGCCGCGGUAAUACGUAGGGCGCAAGCGUUGUCCGGAAUUAUUGGGCGUAAAGAGCUCGUAGGCGGUCUGUCGCGUCGGAUGUGAAAGCCCGGGGCUUAACCCCGGGUCUGCAUUCGAUACGGGCAGACUAGAGUGUGGUAGGGGAGAUCGGAAUUCCUGGUGUAGCGGUGAAAUGCGCAGAUAUCAGGAGGAACACCGGUGGCGAAGGCGGAUCUCUGGGCCAUUACUGACGCUGAGGAGCGAAAGCGUGGGGAGCGAACAGGAUUAGAUACCCUGGUAGUCCACGCCGUAAACGGUGGGAACUAGGUGUUGGCGACAUUCCACGUCGUCGGUGCCGCAGCUAACGCAUUAAGUUCCCCGCCUGGGGAGUACGGCCGCAAGGCUAAAACUCAAAGGAAUUUGACGGGGGCCCGCACAAGCAGCGGAGCAUGUGGCUUAAUUCGACGCAACGCGAAGAACCUUACCAAGGCU